rnacentral:rRNA from 1 species
UACGUAGGCAGCAAGCGUUGUUCGGAGUUACUGGGCGUAAAGGGUGCGUAGGCGGCUUUUUAAGUUUGGUGUGAAAUCUCCCGGCUCAACUGGGAGGGUGCGCCGAAUACUGAGAGGCUAGAGUGUGGAAGAGGAAAGUGGAAUUCCUGGUGUAGCGGUGAAAUGCGUAGAUAUCAGGAGGAACACCGGUGGUGUAAACGGCUUUCUGGACCAUAACUGACGCUGAGGCACGAAAGCGUGGGUAGCAAACAGG